GGCCUCCUACGGGGGGCAGCAGUAGGGAAUAUUGCUCAAUGGGGGAAACCCUGAAGCAGCAACGCCGCGUGGAGGAUGAAGGUUUUCGGAUUGUAAACUCCUUUUGUUAGAGAAGAUAAUGACGGUAUCUAACGAAUAAGCACCGGCUAACUCCGUGCCAGCAGCCGCGGUAAUACGGAGGGUGCAAGCGUUACUCGGAAUCACUGGGCGUAAAGAGCGCGUAGGCGGGAUAGCAAGUCAGAUGUGAAAUCCUAUGGCUUAACCAUAGAACUGCAUUUGAAACUGUCAGUCUUGAGUACCGGAGA
rnacentral:rRNA from 1 species